rnacentral:rRNA from 1 species
AGAACGAACGCUGGCGGCAGGCCUCAAACAUGCAAGUCUAGGGGGCGUAGCAAUACGUCACCGGCGGACGGGUGCGUAACACGUGGGAAUGUACUUACUGGUUCGGAACAACUCAGGGAAACUUGAGCUAAUACCGAAUGUGCCCGAAAGGGGAAAGAUUUAUCGCCAGUAAAUCAGCCCGCGUCCGAUUAGCUAGUUGGUGGGGUAAAGGCCCACCAAGGCGACGAUCGGUAGCUGUUCUGAGAGGAAGAUCAGCCACACUGGGACUGAGACACGGCCCAGACUCCUACGGGAGGCAGCAGUUGGGAAUCUUGGACAAUGGGGAAACCCUGAUCCAGCCAUCGCCGCGUGAGUGAUGAAGGCCUUCGGGUUGUAAAACUCUUUCGACGGGGACGAGUAAUGACGGUACCGUAGAAGAGCUCCGGCUAACUCGCGCCAGCAGCCGC